rnacentral:rRNA from 1 species
GAUGAACGCUGGCGGCGUGCCUAAUACAUGCAAGUCGAGCGAACAGAGGAGGAGCUUGCUCCUCUGACGUUAGCGGCGGACGGGUGAGUAACACGUGGAUAACCUACCUAUAAGACUGGGAUAACUUCGGGAAACCGGAGCUAAUACCGGAUAAGAUAUUGAACCGCAUGGUUCAAUAGUGAAAGACGGUUUUGCUGUCACUUAUAGAUGGAUCCGCGCCGCAUUAGCUAGUUGGUAAGGUAACGGCUUACCAAGGCGACGAUGCGUAGCCGACCUGAGAGGGUGAUCGGCCACACUGGAACUGAGACACGGUCCCGACUCCUACGGGAGGCAGCAGUAGGGAAUCUUCCGCAAUGGGCGAAAGCUUGACGGAGCAACGCCGCGUGAGUGAUGAAGGUCUUCGGAUCGUAAAACUCUGUUAUUAGGGAAGAACAAAUGUGUAAGUAACUAUGCACGUCUUGACGGUACCUAAUCAGAAAGCCACGGCUAACUACGUG